UACGUAGGGUGCGAGCGUUAAUCGGAAUUACUGGGCGUAAAGCGUGCGCAGGCGGUUUUGUAAGACUGUCGUGAAAUCCCCGGGCUCAACCUGGGAAUGGCAUUUGGGACUGCAAGGCUGGAGUGCGGCAGAGGAGACUGGAAUUCCUGGUGUAGCAGUGAAAUGCGUAGAUAUCAGGAGGAAUACCGAUGGCGAAGGCAGGUCUCUGGGCUGACACUGACGCUCAUGCACGAAAGCGUGGGGAGCAAACAGG
rnacentral:rRNA from 1 species